rnacentral:rRNA from 1 species
GGCUGGUCUGCUAGUGGCUCUCGUAGUCGUUAGUUGUACCUAGUCAUCCGUACGGGAAUCCCAUUCGGUCUUCACUGGUCGAUGGGUGGAUCGUACACUUUACUUUGAAAAAAUUAGAGUGUUUCAGGCAGGCAAUUGCUUGGAUACUGCAGCAUGGAAUAAUGGAAUAGGACUUUGACCUAUUUGUUGGUUUCUCAAGGUCAAAGUA